ensembl:lncRNA
CAGAAUUCAGAGGAAUAAUUUAGCUUGGCAUGAGACUUCAGAACCAUUUACAGCAGCAGUGGACAGAAGUAGCUGCAGCACAUAUAUAAAUAACCAUUUGUGUGGAAAACAGUUUUCUUCUACUUUGUUUCUUUGUUUUGUUUCCUCUUACUAAUAGACUUCCUCUUGUUUCUGCUUAGCUCAACUAUUUUGUGCUUCUGUCGGUGGCUUUGCACAGGUGCCAGCCAGUACUGAAGGCAUGAACUGCUGAGUUCUUUCCAGGAGCAUACUUGUGGGUGCCCAGAUACUGGGUAUAUUCAGGAACUGGCUGUGUUCUCACUGUAGUACUUACAAAUGUAUCGGAAUCUGCUGAAGCCAACAUUCAGAAAAAAUAUGGAACUACCCAAGAAAUUUACCCAAUGAAAGAGACCCUCAGAUUUUGUACUAGUGUUUUCAGUUCUCGGAUCAAUGCUGCAGUGAUUCAUGUACCUGGCUAACAGCCUAGAAGAAAAUUUUGCAAAAUAAAUGAAGGAGAAGAAUCUGUGAAUGAGUCUUUCUGAAAUUUUGAGAAAUUCUGGAAGAACAGAGCGCCAAAAUCUGUGCUAAAUGUUCAGAGUGGGAACAAGUUCUUGGACCUGUCUUGAACUGAAAAUGAAGAGGAAAUAUACACCGUGUGGAUCCAUAUCUGACAAAAUUCAUGGAAGAGCCUUGGGUUUUGUGGCAGCUGCAUUUCAUGGUUUUCUGCAAAACCACCUGGAAAACAUCCGUCGUCUGAAAGUGAUAUUCUUAAGAGUGCCUUGCAGACUCAGAUUUGCAGGUUGCUGA